CAUUGUUGGAGAGUUUGAUCCUGGCUCAGGACGAACGCUGGCGGCGUGCUUAACACAUGCAAGUCGAACGAUGAAGCCUUCGGGUGGAUUAGUGGCGAACGGGUGAGUAACACGUGGGCAAUCUGCCCUGUACUUUGGGAUAAGCCUUGGAAACGAGGUC
rnacentral:rRNA from 1 species